GAUGAACGCUAGCGGCAGGCCUAACACAUGCAAGUCGAGGGGUAGCAGGAUUAAGCUUGCUUAAUUGCUGACGACCGGCGCACGGGUGCGUAACGCGUAUGCAACCUACCUUAUACUGGGGUAUAGCCCGGAGAAAUUCGGAUUAAUCCCCCAUAGUACUAAUGAAUCGCAUGGUUUAUUAGUUAAAGCAUUGCGGUAUAAGAUGGCAUGCGUCCUAUUAGCUAGAUGGUGAGGUAACGGCUCACCAUGGCUACGAUAGGUAGGGGGCCUGAGAGGGUGGUCCCCCACACUGGUACUGAGACACGGACCAGACUCCUACGGGAGGCAGCAGUGAGGAAUAUUGGUCAAUAGGCGCAAGCCUGAACCAGCCAUGCCGCGUGCAGGAAGAAUGCCCUAUGGGUUGUAAACUGCUUUUAUUUGGGAAUAAACCUCUUUACGUGUAGAGAGCUGAAGGUACCAAAUGAAUAAGCACCGGCUAACUCCGUGCCAGCCGCCGCGGUAA
rnacentral:rRNA from 1 species